UACGGGGGGAGCAAGCGUUGUUCGGAUUUACUGGGCGUAAAGGGCGCGUAGGCGGCCACCGCAAGUCGACUGUGAAAUCUCCGGGCUUAACUCGGAAAGGUCAGCCAAUACUGCGGGGCUAGAGUGCAGAAGGGGCAACUGGAAUUCUCGGUGUAGCGGUGAAAUGCGUAGAUAUCGAGAGGAACACCUGCGGCGAAGGCGGGUUGCUGGGCUGACACUGACGCUGAGGCGCGAAAGCUAGGGGAGCGAACGGG
rnacentral:rRNA from 1 species